GCAUUGAUGGUGUAAUGGCGAACACUACUGCUUACUAUACAAGCAGCAGAUCUGGGUUCGAUUCCCAGUCAGUGCU